AGAGCGAGACGCGUUGCGCGGGAGUCACCACCGUGGAGUGUGUCGCCGUUGAGAAGCCGUUACCGCCAGAUCCACCGCUGCCGGAGCUUCUGGCCGAGCUUCUACCGCCGGAAACGCCAUUUCCGGUAAGGGUUUUUAAGUUGGCUUUCGUUCCUUUUGAGUUUCCAGAAGAUUUUCAUCGCUGCAUGUUUGUUACAAUCGUCGUCGCCAGAGUUCUGGUCGCCACUGCCGCUCAAGGUGGUUGCCGGGGCUGCCGCCAAACCGGUGCAGCUAUCGCCGCUGUUUCGUUUUCUUAGUUCGGUUCAAGUUCUGUAUGUUGAAUGCCGCUUUUAGGUUGCUGUGAGUGCUGCGAAAGUGAUAAGGGGCUGAGUUUGUGGUUGUCGUUGGUUCCGGGCUGAGAGGAAAGAGUUCAGUUGAUGCGUUUGGGUUAUGGUUUCGACGAGUCGAGGUAGGGGCUUUUUAUACAAACUAAUUUAUUUUAAAUGGGAAUUGUUAGAAAUAGAUAUGCUGUGCGAAAUGUAUUUCUGGUGAUUAGGUGAGUCUUAUGAAUUGUCUGAUUUUGUCUUGAAUGAAUAUGGUUGCCUAUUUGAUUGAAACAAUGUCUGAUUUUGAUAAAUUGGAGAUUUCUGAAUUGGUUGAUUUGGAUUGGUUUUGAUAAUCUGAAAGUUGAGUUUUUGUUUUAUUUGAAAUUGAUUUGGUCUUGAAUCUGUUGGAAAGAGUUGAGGAUUGGUUUGGUUGGAACCCGGAAAUGUGGCAAAAUCGAAGUUUUAGGGGAGAUGCUACCGAAAUUUCUAUAAAAUCCGAGAUUUUAUUUGAAAUGGUAUUUUAAAAAAGGAAUGGAUUAUGCCUUGAACUGUAUUAUUGAUAAAUGGAUUAUGUUUGGACCCUUUUAUUAAGGAAAUUAUUAUAUUUUGAAUGUAAACUAUUUUAGAAAAGAAUCAUGUUUUAAAGCCGAUUUAAAGAUGAAAAUAUUUAAGUUUUGGAAUUUGAUCAAGUAAGUAAUUUGAGGGAUGUUUAAUGGAGUUCGAUUAACUAAUUUCACUUUACGACAUUUUAGGAAAAAUUUGAAGUAUUUUUUGAAACUUUGAUUUAGUAAAGCUGAAACAAUUUCUGAGCCUUUGGAAAUAGAUUUAAGAAUGAAACUGAAACUGGUUCUCGGUUUAAAUGAUUUGGUUUUGAUUUAAAUAAGUUGGUUUUGAAAUUGGUUCGGAAUAUUUGGAUACAUGACUUGGUUUUGGUUUAAAUUCAAUUUUAUUUAUUCAAAUCAAGAAGUUAAGGUUUCAGAGGUUUUCAAUGAGUUUAAGAAAUGAGUUAGGUUAUUCUCCCCUGAAGUCUUGAGACUCCGCUGAGGAAUUUUAUGACCAAAUCUUGAUUUAGAAAUGAAUGAUUCUAAGUCUUUCAAAAGAGAUUUUGAUUUUGACAUGGUUUUGUGAUGGUUUGGAAGUGUUAGAAAGAUGUGGAAUGUGGCUCCGUUUUGAAAAGUGAUUCUUGGCAAGAUGUGAAUUGAAUACAUUUGUUAUUUAAAAAAAUGGGCUAAGAAUGAAUUUGAAAUAAGUUAUUGAGCCUGAUUGAUUGUGGAUAUCAUCGAGAUUGAUGAGUUAUUACUUGGUAGGCAUAAGGGCCGGGUUCGUCCCGCUUAUGCUGAGAUGAAAUUGUUGAUAAGUCGCUUGCGCCUGGCAAGGAUGGUGGUUAAUCCCGCUUGUCGAGGGUGCGGCGCCCGUGUAAGGACAGUGGUUAAUCCCGCUUACGGUGGAGGCAAGGACGGUGGUUUAAUCCCGCUUGUCUAUGGGACCUACGGAUAAGGACGGUAGUUGGAUCCCGCUUAUCCUAGUCGGCUUUGGCAACAUAACCGACAAUGUGAUAUCACAGCCAGUAGGACAGAUAUGCAUCAUAUGCAUUUAUGUGACAUUGUUUGGGUGUGCAUGUUGUAAUUGGUUUGCCUAUGUGAAUACUUAUGUUAACUGCUAACUGCUAUAAUUGUUGUAAUUGCUAUUAAUUGUGUUUGAAC